ACAUAAACCUCAACUCCACCACUAACCAGCUGUGUUAGCUUUGAUUAUUGGAGCAUGUUCUAAGGAUUAUUUUGACAUGUUUUGUUCACCAUAGAUAUGUCUUGUGCUACUAGGAGAGCUUACACUAUAGUCUGAACUUCUACAGAGCUUUUUCCUACUGUGAACCUCACUCAAAAACGACAACCUUCCAUUUCACAAGAAUCAGAGCCUCACUAUGUUGCCCCAGUGGUCUUGACUCCUGGCCUCAAGUGAUCUUCCUGCCUCAGCUUACCAAAGUGUUGGGAUUACAGGUGUGAUCCACAGUGCCCAGUCUGUGUGUGUUUUUAUAAUUGGAAGUACAUAACAUCCUUUACACAAUAUGCAAGUGCAUAUUGAGGAAGGAGGGAGACCAAAUAGGUCUAAAAGUAAGAAGAAUAAGUCUUGACCCAUUAACUGUACAGAUCAAAAUCCACGCUAAUUUUAGAUGUACAGAACACUAUGUCUUUUUAAAAAUCUAUUUAGAAAUUACUUACGGUAUUUUUUAGAAAAUGCACAGGAACUCCUGUUAAAAAAUAAAAUAUUUCU